rnacentral:rRNA from 1 species
AUUGAACGCUGGCGGCAUGCCUUACACAUGCAAGUCGAACGGCAGCACGGGUGCUUGCACCUGGUGGCGAGUGGCGAACGGGUGAGUAAUACAUCGGAACUUACCUUAUCGUGGGGGAUAAUGCAGCGAAAGCUGUGCUAAUACCGCAUACGCCCUGAGGGGGAAAGCGGGGGAUCGCGCGACCCCGCGCGAUUAGAGCGGCCGAUGCCUGAUUAGCUCGUUGGUGGGGUAAAAGCCCACCAAGGCGACGAUCAGUAGCUGGUCUGAGAGGACGAUCAGCCACACUGGGACUGAGACACGGCCCAGACUCCUACGGGAGGCAGCAGUGGGGAAUUUUGGACAAUGGGGGCAACCCUGAUCCAGCAAUGCCGCGUGAGUGAAGAAGGUCUUCGGGUUGUAAAGCUCUUUUGUCAGGGAAGAAACACCGGCUCUAACACAGUCCGGGAAUGACGGUACCUGAAGAAUAAGCACCGGCUAACUACGUGCCAGCCGCCGCAGUAA